UGUGAACAUAUUUGUUUGUUUUGUGUACGAAAUAUAAACCGAAAUCUAUAUAACAAAAUCAUUUUCAAUCCGGUAACACACAGUGUAUUAUCAACAUAUCCAAGUGGGCCGCAGUUAGUGAUAAUUCGUCUACGACAAUACGGAAAUCCACAAAGAAAUUUUCACUGAGGAAAUUUGACUCAUCUGCAAUCAACAUUUACAAUAUUACCGAUUGACUUAGUAACGGUCAUUUUUCACAUUUUAAUAUCAUAAGUUUCACAAUGGGCUUUAAAUAUUUAGUUUUUUUCCUUUAUUUUGUUUUAUCGGCAAUAGUUUUAACAAAUGUUUUAGCAUGGGUACCUGGUGUUGAAAAGAACUAUUGUUCCGGUAAGAACAAUGCAUCUUGUUAUCAACCUGGUGUAUCUUGUUAUUAUUGUAGAAAUCAUUGCCUUCUAGGAGAAGAGCCUACUUUGAACUAUCCACUUCUUUGUGAAACCGUAGGGUUAAAAUUUUGUUAUGACCCCAAUAAUUAUACUUUAUGUUGUUUGGUAUCGUGCAAUUAAUAAAUAAAAUAUUAAUUUUUUAUUUACUUUUUUUUUUUGUAUUUUUUUUUUGGCUACCUGUUAAAAACUUUUCUACUAGCUGUUUUUAUUCGAAUUUUAAGUGUACCUUACAUUUUUAAAAUGAAAUUGUGUAUCAAGUUGAUGUUUCAAAGAAACCUGAUUUUUUGAUUUUUCGUUAAAAUUGGGAAAGACCGUGGAUAGAACGCAAGAAAGCCAUUAAAAUGUACACAAUAACGGUUUUUGUUAUUUUCGAUUUUGUUAUUUGAUUCCGAGAGGAGCGUGGAACAAUUUACCGGGAUCCGUUCUAUGCUUAUGAUACCGUAUGGUAACGUAGCCUAUUUUGGAAUUCGUCAAAUUACUAAAAUGCCGAACGCCUUGUGACUCGUAGACAACAUAUUAUAAGACAGGAAAUUUACAGUUAAUUUAAAUUGGAAAUAAAGUUAAUAUAAAUGUCUACAAAACGGUUUACCGUAGUGUUCAGUUUUUGUAUUUUGGUCCAUAUAAUUUAUUUUAGUGGGAGAUAUAUGGAAAAUGAUUUGGGAAGUCGGUAUAGUGUAAAAAACAGAUAUCAUAUGAGUGACCUACUCGAAGAGUUUCAGGCUUUGAUUCCCCGAGAGCCAUGUGGACCACGCUAAAUAGAAUACGUACGGAGCCGAAAAUGCAACUACUUUCCACAUAAACAGAAGGUGAAAAACUCGCCACACCGUAACUGCGGACAUUUAUAAACUAUCAGGCGCGUCGUAGAGGAAUGUCCAUAAACAAGGUAUAAUAUGGAGGUAUAGGUAAUUAUAAUAUUAUAAAAAUUUUAAUUGAUCUUUUAUAGGGGCGAUGAAGAGACAAUACCUAUAGAUCGGCUGUCUGAGAUUGAUGUGUUCGCCUUUAAAUAUAUUUGUCUAUAUUAUUAUCUAUCUUAAUUUGAUUGUUAAUUUUUUUAUACCUUGUAUUACUUAAAGUUCAACGAUUUUGUUUUCAAG